rnacentral:rRNA from 1 species
ACGGGAGGCAGCAGUGGGGAAUAUUGGGCAAUGGGGGGAACCCUGAUGCAGCGACGCCGCGUGAGUGAAGAAGUAUUUCGGUAUGUAAAGCUCUAUCAGCAGGGAAGAGAAUGACGGUACCUGACUAAGAAGCACCGGCUAAAUACGUGCCAGCAGCCGCGGUAAUACGUAUGGUGCAAGCGUUAUCCGGAUUUACUGGGUGUAAAGGGAGCGCAGGUGGCCUGGCAAGCCAGAAGUGAAAGCCCGGGGCUUAACCCCGGGACUGCUUUUGGAACUGUUGGGCUGGAGUGCAGGAGGGGCAAGCGGAAUUCCUGGUGUAGCGGUGAAAUGCGUAGAUAUCAGGAGGAACACCGGUGGCGAAGGCGGCUUGCUGGACUGUAACUGACACUGAGGCUCGAAAGCGUGGGGAGCAAACAGGAUUAGAUACCCUGGUA